AUAGAGACUCAGAGCUGCAUAUCAAUAAGCGGAGGAAAAGAAACUAACAAGGAUUCCCUUAGUAACGGCGAGUGAAGCGGGAAGAGCUCAAAUUUGAAAUCUUCAAGGUUCUACCUUGACGAAUUGUAGUUUAUAGAAGUGUUUUUCUGUUAGUAGAGUGGCAAAAGUUCUUUGGAAUAGGACAUCAUAGAGGGUGAGAAUCCCGUAUUUGGUCAUUCCUUCUAGCGUUGUGAUACACUUUCAACGAGUCGGAUUGUUUGGGAAUGCAGUCCAAAAUGGGUGGUAAAUUUCAUCUAAAGCUAAAUAUUGGCGAGAGACCGAUAGCGAACAAGUACCGUGAGGGAAAGAUGAAAAGAACUUUGAAAAGAGAGUUAAACAGUACGUGAAAUUGUCAAAAGGGAAGCGUUUGACACCAGUGUUGUUUAGUUGAAAAUCAAUUAAAUAAUUUUUCGAUUUUAAGUAGUAUUGACCUUAUCAGCUUGCUGCUUUUUUCUCAGAAAUUAUUUAAUGCACUUUUCAGUUAACAAGUCAACAUCAAUUUCUUUUGUUGUAAAAAGGUAAGAGGAAGGUGGCUUGCGCUUCGGCUCAAGUGUUUAUAGCCUUUUACCCCUGCAAUCGGAGAGAUUGAGGUCUGCAGCGUAGAUCCUUCGGGGUUAGAUACAUUUGUGCUAAGCUAUAGCCUUGUAUAGACAACUUGUUGACUAUGCUCAGUCAUGUAGCUUACUCGCUUAUGCUAUUUUACCUACGCUUAGGAUGUUGAUAGUCACAGCGUGUAC
rnacentral:rRNA from 1 species